AAACGACUCUCGGCAACGGAUAUCUCGGCUCACGCAUCGAUGAAGAACGUAGCAAAAUGCGAUACUUGGUGUGAAUUGCAGAAUCCCGUGAACCAUCGAGUUUUUGAACGCAAGUUGCGCCCAAAGCCAUCCGGUUGAGGGCACGUCUGCCUGGGCGUCAC
rnacentral:rRNA from 2 species